rnacentral:rRNA from 1 species
UACGGGGGGGGCAAGCGUUGUUCGGAAUUACUGGGCGUAAAGGGCUCGUAGGUGGCCAACUAAGUCGGACGUGAAAUCCCUCGGCUUAACCGGGGAACUGCGUCCGAUACUGGUUGGCUUGAGUUUGGGAGAGGGAUGCGGAAUUCCAGGUGUAGCGGUGAAAUGCGUAGAUAUCAGGAGGAACACCGGUGGCGAAGGCGGCCCUCUGGACGGAUACUGACGCUGAGACGCGACAGCGUGGGGAGCAAACAGG